rnacentral:rRNA from 1 species
GACGAACGCUGGCGGCGUGCCUAAUACAUGCAAGUAGAACGCUGAAGGAGGGGCUUGCUCUUCUGGAUGAGUUGCGAACGGGUGAGUAACGCGUAGGUAACCUGCCUGGUAGCGGGGGAUAACUAUUGGAAACGAUAGCUAAUACCGCAUAAGAGUAGAUGUUGCAUGACAUUUGCUUAAAAGGUGCAAUUGCAUCACUACCAGAUGGACCUGCGUUGUAUUAGCUAGUUGGUGGGGUAACGGCUCACCAAGGCGACGAUACAUAGCCGACCUGAGAGGGUGAUCGGCCACACUGGGACUGAGACACGGCCCAGACUCCUACGGGAGGCAGCAGUAGGGAAUCUUCGGCAAUGGACGGAAGUCUGACCGAGCAACGCCGCGUGAGUGAAGAAGGUUUUCGGAUCGUAAAGCUCUGUUGUAAGAGAAGAACGAGUGUGAGAGUGGAAAGUUCACACUGUGACGGUAUCUUACCAGAAAGGGACGGCUAACUACGUG